rnacentral:rRNA from 1 species
GUACACGUGGGAACGUGCCUUUUGGUUCGGAACAACUCAGGGAAACUUGAGCUAAUACCGAAUGUGCCCUUCGGGGGAAAGAUUUAUCGCCAUUAGAGCGGCCCGCGUCUGAUUAGCUAGUUGGUAGGGUAAAGGCCUACCAAGGCUACGAUCAGUAGCUGGUCUGAGAGGAUGAUCAGCCACACUGGGACUGAGACACGGCCCAGACUCCUACGGGAGGCAGCAGUUAGGUAUCUUGCGCAAUGGGCGAAAGCCUGACGCAGCCAUGCCGCGUGAAUGAUGAAGGUCUUAGGAUUGUAAAAUUCUUUCAGCGGGGACGAUAUGACGGUACCCGCAGAAGAAGCUCCGGCUAACUUCGUGCCAGCAGCCGCGGUAAUACGAAGGGGGCUAGCGUUGCUCGGAAUUAUUGGGCGUAAAGGGUGCGUAGGCGGUUUGAUAAGUCACAUGUGAAAUCUUCGGGCUCAAACCCGAAGUCUGCAUGCGAAACUGUCGGGCUUGAGUAUGGGAGAGGU